rnacentral:misc_RNA from 1 species
UCCGGCUUGUCGCCGGCGGUCCCUCUAGAGUGCUCAACUAAAUGGUAGCAACUAAAGACGAGGGUUGCGCUCGUUGCGGGACUUAACCCAACAUCUCACGACACGAGCUGACGACAGCCAUGCAGCACCUGUGUGUAGGCCCCGUAAGGGGAGGAAUCCAUCUCUGGAAACCGUCCUACCAUGUCAAACGCUGGUAAGGUUCUUCGCGUUGCGUCGAAUUGAACCACAUGCUCCACCGCUUGUGCGGGCCCCCGUCAAUUCCUUUGAGUUUCAGCCUUGCGACUGUACUCCCCAGGCGGCAUAUUUAACGCGUUAGCUCCGGCACGGAUCAACUGAAUGACCCACGCCAAAUAUGCAUCGUUUAGGGCGUGGACUAC